UUUUUUUUCUAUAGCUGCCCAGAUUGGAGAAGACUUACUGCCUUCACUUUCUCGAGAUGACAUCAAGGAUCUUCCUGGUCCUGAAAACUUUCACAGGCGGCAGGCUAUAUGGCUUGUUCCGAAUAAAGAUGAAAAGGUGGAGACUGCUGCUGAACUACCACAGUCAUCAGCGACUGGAAGUAGUGGUCUUUCACAAGAGCCCAACACUUCUAAGUUUGUGGUUAUGUCCAGCCCAUAAUACAUUGUUUACACAGACAGUGAACUUGAACAGGUGCAACGCUCCUACUUUGAGCAGAAACGGCUGGGGACUGAGAACACUGUGGAUUUAUCUAAGGAGCUCUUCUGCCGGCUCAUAAGAAACACUAUGUGAUAUAAUAUGAUCUCAAUUGCAAGAGCCACAGAAGAUGCCAGAUACCCCACCAAACCAGAGGUCAAUGCCAUGGCAAAGCGAUUGGUGGAGUAUUAUCCAAUGGUAAAAGACUUGGAGCAUGUUGCCAAAAAGCUUGUGAAGAGGCUAUCGAAUGUAAAAAGCCCAAAGAAGGGCGUUCCUCCUGCAAAGAAACAAUGGCGGGAAGUCGAAGAAGUAACAACGAGUGACUAUGACGGGGAUUCGAGUGCUUCUACGGUCAUUCUUCAACGGUCCCCAGUCAGAGCCAGCACUCCUGUGCAACACCUGGAUAGCAGUGAUGAAUGUGGUUUGGGUGACGUCUUUGAUAGCCAGAAAACCCAAGCAAGACACUGCAACUACAAGACACUGCAAGAGAUGUGCCGGUCCAAAAAGCCAAACAAAGUUUCAGUAACCCAUUUGCUGAACUUGGAGUUUGAGUCAAGAAGACGC